GACGUAGGGCGCAAGCGUUUGUCCGGAUUUAUUGGGCGUAAAGAGCUCGUAGGCGGCUCGUUGCGUCGGCUGUGAAAACCCGCAGCUCAACUGUGGGCUUGCAGCCGAUACGGGCGGGCUGGAGUUCGGUAGGGGAGACUGGAAUUCCUGGUGUAGCGGUGAAAUGCGUAGAGAUCGGCAGGAACACCAAGGGAGAAGUCAGCCACCUGGGCAUGUGCUGACGCUGAGGUGCGAAAGCGUGGGGAGCGAACUGG
rnacentral:rRNA from 1 species